AUGGGGGGACCAUCCUCCAAGGCUAAAUACUCCUGACUGACCGAUAGUGAACCAGUACCGUGAGGGAAAGGCGAAAAGAACCCCGGCGAGGGGAGUGAAAAAGAACCUGAAACCGUGUACGUACAAGCAGUGGGAGCACGCUUAGGCGUGUGACUGCGUACCUUUUGUAUAAUGGGUCAGCGACUUAUAUUCUGUAGCAAGGUUAACCGAAUAGGGGAGCCGAAGGGAAACCGAGUCUUAACUGGGCGUUAAGUUGCAGGGUAUAGACCCGAAACCCGGUGAUCUAGCCAUGGGCAGGUUGAAGGUUGGGUAACACUAACUGGAGGACCGAACCGACUAAUGUUGAAAAAUUAGCGGAUGACUUGUGGCUGGGGGUGAAAGGCCAAUCAAACCGGGAGAUAGCUGGUUCUCCCCGAAAGCUAUUUAGGUAGCGCCUCGUGAAUUCAUCUCCGGGGGUAGAGCACUGUUUCGGCAAGGGGGUCAUCCCGACUUACCAACCCGAUGCAAACUGCGAAUACCGGAGAAUGUUAUCACGGGAGACACACGGCGGGUGCUAACGUCCGUCGUGAAGAGGGAAACAACCCAGACCGCCAGCUAAGGUCCCAAAGUCAUGGUUAAGUGGGAAACGAUGUGGGAAGGCCCAGACAGCCAGGAUGUUGGCUUAGAAGCAGCCAUCAUUUAAAGAAAGCGUAAUAGCUCACUGGUCGAGUCGGCCUGCGCGGAAGAUGUAACGGGGCUAAACCAUGCACCGAAGCUGCGGCAGCGACGCUUAUGCGUUGUUGGGUAGGGGAGCGUUCUGUAAGCCUGCGAAGGUGUGCUGUGAGGCAUGCUGGAGGUAUCAGAAGUGCGAAUGCUGACAUAAGUAACGAUAAAGCGGGUGAAAAGCCCGCUCGCCGGAAGACCAAGGGUUCCUGUCCAACGUUAAUCGGGGCAGGGUGAGUCGACCCCUAAGGCGAGGCCGAAAGGCGUAGUCGAUGGGAAACAGGUUAAUAUUCCUGUACUUGGUGUUACUGCGAAGGGGGGACGGAGAAGGCUAUGUUGGCCGGGCGACGGUUGUCCCGGUUUAAGCGUGUAGGCUGGUUUUCCAGGCAAAUCCGGAAAAUCAAGGCUGAGGCGUGAUGACGAGGCACUACGGUGCUGAAGCAACAAAUGCCCUGCUUCCAGGAAAAGCCUCUAAGCAUCAGGUAACAUCAAAUCGUACCCCAAACCGACACAGGUGGUCAGGUAGAGAAUACCAAGGCGCUUGAGAGAACUCGGGUGAAGGAACUAGGCAAAAUGGUGCCGUAACUUCGGGAGAAGGCACGCUGAUAUGUAGGUGAAGUCCCUUGCGGAUGGAGCUGAAAUCAGUCGAAGAUACCAGCUGGCUGCAACUGUUUAUUAAAAACACAGCACUGUGCAAACACGAAAGUGGACGUAUACGGUGUGACGCCUGCCCGGUGCCGGAAGGUUAAUUGAUGGGGUCAGCGCAAGCGAAGCUCUUGAUCGAAGCCCCGGUAAACGGCGGCCGUAACUAUAACGGUCCUAAGGUAGCGAAAUUCCUUGUCGGGUAAGUUCCGACCUGCACGAAUGGCGUAAUGAUGGCCAGGCUGUCUCCACCCGAGACUCAGUGAAAUUGAACUCGCUGUGAAGAUGCAGUGUACCCGCGGCAAGACGGAAAGACCCCGUGAACCUUUACUAUAGCUUGACACUGAACAUUGAGCCUUGAUGUGUAGGAUAGGUGGGAGGCUUUGAAGUGUGGACGCCAGUCUGCAUGGAGCCGGCCUUGAAAUACCACCCUUUAAUGUUUGAUGUUCUAACGUGGACCCGUGAUCCGGGUUGCGGACAGUGUCUGGUGGGUAGUUUGACUGGGGCGGUCUCCUCCUAAAGAGUAACGGAGGAGCACGAAGGUUGGCUAAUCCUGGUCGGACAUCAGGAGGUUAGUGCAAUGGCAUAAGCCAGCUUGACUGCGAGCGUGACGGCGCGAGCAGGUGCGAAAGCAGGUCAUAGUGAUCCGGUGGUUCUGAAUGGAAGGGCCAUCGCUCAACGGAUAAAAGGUACUCCGGGGAUAACAGGCUGAUACCGCCCAAGAGUUCAUAUCGACGGCGGUGUUUGGCACCUCGAUGUCGGCUCAUCACAUCCUGGGGCUGAAGUAGGUCCCAAGGGUAUGGCUGUUCGCCAUUUAAAGUGGUACGCGAGCUGGGUUUAGAACGUCGUGAGACAGUUC
rnacentral:rRNA from 1 species